rnacentral:rRNA from 1 species
UACGUAGGGUGCAAGCGUUGUCCGGAAUUAUUGGGCGUAAAGAGCUCGUAGGCGGUCCAUCGCGUCGGGAGUGAAAACCUGGGGCUCAACCCCAGUCCUGCUUCCGAUACGGGUGGACUAGAGGUAUGCAGGGGAGAACGGAAUUCCUGGUGUAGCGGUGAAAUGCGCAGAUAUCAGGAGGAACACCGGUGGCGAAGGCGGUUCUCUGGGCAUUACCUGACGCUGAGGAGCGAAAGCGUGGGGAGCAAACAGG